GUGAUUGCUUUGCAAAAUAGAUUUGAGAGGCAGCGUUUUCUUCUAUUUUAUUCAAUUAAACUUGGUUUCCUUCCCCGAAAGUACUUUCCAAUUCUGCACGUACUGACCCUAUCGAAUUUUUUAAAUAGUCGAAAAAUAAACAAAUAUAGUGAACUCAAUCGUAACAUUUCAUUUUUAAACUUUGUAUGAAAAUAUUUCAAAUUGACGGAAAAAUUAAAAGAUAAUUAUAACAAAUAACAAACUUUACAGUAGCCGACGCAUUGUAUGUCAACUGGAACAACACAUGCUCACGGAGAGAAAUUUGUAUCGUCGCGUUGACGUCAGUGAUUCGUUUCUCAAAUGUCACGAAAAUGAUCCAUUUUUGAUGCGCAUCAUUACUGGGGACGAAAAAUGGGUUGUAUAUAACAAUGUCAAACGCAAAAGAUCAUAGAGCAAAAAAGAUGAACCGCCUCAAAGCAUUUCCAAAAUUUUACCGGAUAACACAACAAUUAUUUCGGAAAUUUACUGUCAUCAGCUGGACAAACUAAAUGAUACACUUCAACAGAAAAGGCCAGAAUUAAUCAACAGAAAAGGUAUAGUGUUCCUCCAAAAUAAUGCGAGAUGUCAUAUAAGUUUGGUCAUUUGCCAAAAGCUUUUACAGCUUGAAUGGGAUACAAUGCCACAUUCACCAUAUUCUCCAGAUCUGGCGCCUUCGGAUUAUUAUUUGUUCCGGUCACUGUAAAAUUUUUUAGACGGUAAAACCUUCACUUCAAAUGAGGAAGUCAAAAAUCACCUCGAUCAGUUUUAUGCCAACAAAGAUCAAAAAUUUUAUGAGCGUGGAAUCAUGCUACUACCAGAAAGAUGGCAAAAGUUAUUGGACCAGAAUGGCCAAUAUAUAAGUUCAUAAAAUAUUUGUCCAUAAUACGAAAAUUGUCUUUCAUUUUCACAAAAAAAAAAACGAAAUUACUUUCCGAACAAACCUUUAUUUCAAACAGAUUUAGAAUUAUAAAACUUCAGAUAUUCGAAAAAUAAUUAUAAACUACUACUUUACUUUCAUUUGCUAAGCUUUACAUAUAGGCAAAGCAUUUUUUCUUUAUUUUUUAAUAUUCUUAUUCUUAUUUAAGAAAAAUAGACUACUGCGUUAACUACUCUCAGUUUUGUAUUUCUGAAAAGAUGUUGAUAUCAAUAAUUACUUAAUAAAACGUACUUUGAAGAUAAAAUUGAUAAUUAUUUUAAAAAAUCAAGAUCAAUGAAGAGAGCGACUACAGAUUAUAAAGCCUAUAAGUUACCAAAUUGGACUGAAAAAA